rnacentral:rRNA from 1 species
UACGUAGGGUGCGAGCGUUGUCCGGAUUUAUUGGGCGUAAAGAGCUCGUAGGCGGUUUGUCGCGUCGGCCGUGAAAUCUCCACGCUUAACGUGGAGCGUGCGGUCGAUACGGGCAGACUUGAGUUCGGUAGGGGAGACUGGAAUUCCUGGAUGUAGCGGUGAAAUGACGCAGAUAUCAGGAGGAACACCGGUGGCGAAGGCGGGUCUCUGGGCGAACAACUGA